UACGAAGGGGGCUAGCGUUGCUCGGAAUGACUGGGCGUAAAGGGCGCGUAGGCGGUGAGUACAGUCAGACGUGAAAUUCCCGGGCUCAACCUGGGGGCUGCGUUUGAUACGUGCUUGCUUGAGUUCGGAAGAGGGUCGUGGAAUUCCCAGUGUAGAGGUGAAAUUCGUAGAUAUUGGGAAGAAACACCGGUGGCGAAGGCGGCGACCUGGUCCGAUACUGACGCUGAGGCGCGAAAGCGUGGGGAGCAAACAGG
rnacentral:rRNA from 1 species